AGUCAAUGCUGAGAUCUCAGAAUGUUCAGAUGCACUAAAGGAAUAAGAAAAAGCAAGCAAACAGCGUGGCCACGUCGUGUAGUUCACAAGAAGGACUGAAGUUCAAACGAACAAGACAUCAUUAAUGCAGAGCUGUGCUGAGGCCCUGUGGAAGGGGUAGGAUGUUCUUCUGAAAUGCUUCGCUGGCUGAUGCCUGGUCUACAGGGAAUAGAGACAAGAGCCAAAGAUACACAUUUCUUCGUGCAAGAAUCAGAAAAUGGAAUGGUUGAGAGCCAGAUCAUCCCCUCUGCUUUGAGGUGCCUUGGGGUGGAGUUUGCACAAAGACUGACCAGGGCUGGCCUGGAAUUCCAUACCAGAAUGCAGAUGCCAUAACUCUAUGUAUGUGGUCAAAGGCCACUAUGGUUGCUUCAUGACUCUUAAGUCUUAAAACACUAAUGAAUGGCUGACAUCCCUGUGCUGUUGAGGCCCUUCACAAGAUGGAUUUCAAACUCCUAUAGAAAAGUGAGCUAUGAAGUCUUCACAGGCCUCUAUGAGCACAAACUGACUUUGAC
rnacentral:lncRNA from 1 species